rnacentral:rRNA from 1 species
AGUCACGAGUUUGAUCCUGGCUCAGAUUGAACGCUGGCGGUAGGCCUAACACAUGCAAGUCGAACGCGAAAGUCCUUCGGGAUGAGUAGAGUGGCGGACGGGUGAGUAACGCGUAGGAAUCUGUCCUGUAGUGGGGGAUAACGUUUCGAAAGGAACGCUAAUACCGCAUACGCCCUACGGGGGAAAGCGGGGGAUCUUCGGACCUCGCGCUAGAGGAGGAGCCUGCGUCGGAUUAGCUAGUUGGUGAGGUAAAGGCUCACCAAGGCGACGAUCCGUAGCUGGUCUGAGAGGAUGAUCAGCCACACCGGAACUGAGACACGGUCCGGACUCCUACGGGAGGCAGCAGUGGGGAAUAUUGCGCAAUGGGCGAAAGCCUGACGCAGCCAUACCGCGUGUGUGAAGAAGGCCUUCGGGUUGUAAAGCACUUUCAGUGGGGAGGAAAAGCUGGCGGCUAAUAUCCGCCGGCCGUGACGCUACCCACAGAAGAAGCACCGGCUAAUUCCGUG